CCUACGGGUGGCAGCAGUGAGGAAUAUUGGUCAAUGGACGAGAGUCUGAACCAGCCAAGUAGCGUGAAGGAUGACUGCCCUAUGGGUUGUAAACUUCUUUUAUAUGGGAAUAAAAUGUUCCACGUGUGGGAUUUUGUAUGUACCAUAUGAAUAAGGAUCGGCUAACUCCGUGCCAGCAGCCGCGGUAAUACGGAGGAUCCGAGCGUUAUCCGGAUUUAUUGGGUUUAAAGGGAGCGUAGGUGGAUUGUUAAGUCAGUUGUGAAAGUUUGCGGCUCAACCGUAAAAUUGCAGUUGAAACUGGCAGUCUUGAGUACAGUAUAGGUGGGCGGAAUUCGUGGUGUAGCGGUGAAAUGCUUAGAUAUCACGAAGAACUCCGAUUGCGAAGGCAGUUCACUGGACUGCAACUGACACUGAGGCUCGAAAGUGUGGGUAUCAAACAGGAUUAGAUACCCUUGUAGUC
rnacentral:rRNA from 1 species